UACCAGCAGUCCAAGUGGCAGCCACUUUUAUUGGGUCUAAAACAUCCGUAGCUUGCUUGGUAAGUUUCUUGUGAAAUCCUGCAUCUUAAGUGCAGGGCGUGCAAGAGAUACUGCCUUGCUAGAGACCGGGAGGCGUAAGGAGUACGGUUAGGGUAGCGGUUAAAUGCGUUGAUCCUUUCUGGACUAACGAUAGCGAAGGCACCUUACGAGAACGGAUCUGACAGUGAGGGAUGAAGGCUAGGGUCGCAAAACGGAUUAGAUACCCUCGUA
rnacentral:rRNA from 1 species